GACGAACGCUGGCGGCGUGCUUAACACAUGCAAGUCGAGCGGUAAGGCCCUUUCGGGGGUACACGAGCGGCGAACGGGUGAGUAACACGUGGGUAACCUGCCCUCAGCUCUGGGAUAAGCCUGGGAAACUGGGUCUAAUACUGGAUAUGACUCCACGGUGCAUGUCGUGGGGUGGAAAGCCUUGUGCGGCUGAGGAUGGGCCCGCGGCCUAUCAGCUUGUUGGUGGGGUGAUGGCCUACCAAGGCGACGACGGGUAGCCGGCCUGAGAGGGCGACCGGCCACACUGGGACUGAGACACGGCCCAGACUCCUACGGGAGGCAGCAGUGGGGAAUCUUGCGCAAUGGGCGAAAGCCUGACGCAGCGACGCCGCGUGAGGGAUGAC
rnacentral:rRNA from 1 species